CACGUUUAGCCCAGAAAUAACCAUGAAUUUAAUUACAUGUUGUUUUUCCAAAAUGAUUUGUUAGAUGUAUCAUAUUUAAUCAUGUAAACAAAGUUCAAAGCGAUUAAGGUAUUUUGUUUCAUUUCUUUAAAGUGUUUAUGCACCGUCUGUACUUAGCCACUAUUUAGCUUAUAAAUAGACCGACUACGAAUAACCCACGUUUAGCCCAGAAAUAACCAUUAAUUUAUUUACAUGUGGUUUUUGCCAAAUAACUUGUGAGAUGUAUGGUAUUUCAUUGUGUAAGCAAAGUUAGCAGCUAUAACAAGGUUUGUUUAAUUUCUUUAAAGUGUUUUAUGCACCGUCGUACAUAGCCACUAUUUAGCUCAUAAAUAGACCGACUACGAACAAACCAUGUUUAGCCCAGAAUAACCUUGAAUUUAAUAAAAUUUUGUUUUUGCCAAAAUAACUUGCAAGAUGUAUGAUAUUUCAUCAGGCAUGCAAAGACACCAGUGAAUUCAAGAUGUUUGGUUUUAUUUAUCUUAUCUGAAUAUCUGCUGUCACGCAUAACAUUCAUUAUUGAUAAACAAAAUCCAGUUACAACUCCGAACCGCUAGAUGGCAGCUGCAGUACACAAACACGAGGCCAAAUCUCGCGAGAAAGAUUUCCGCUGUUUGAAAAUCAACAACACCAGCGAGCAGCAGCCAGGAGGAAAGCAAUCUUCCACACUCGUUUGAUCUUGUGUCAAAGCUGUGCUAAACUGGAGGGAGAAACUUGAGAGACCGUGCCGGAAGAAUGCUGGGCAGAGUUCACUAAAAUUCAUUAAUUUCAAAGUUCAACAUGAAUGGUGGUGGUCCACUGCAGAAACAAGCAUUUGAAAAAACACCAGUUCUCAGUUAUUAAAGAUGCUGUGUUGAACAACUUCCCAGCAGCAACAGAACUGGAAGUGAAGGAUGCAAUGGGGGCAUUUCAAACAGGCACCAGGGAGGACGUGGUGUAUAGACAUUAGUCCAAUUAAUAAGUUGAAGUGAACUGAAGAUAGUUUGUUAAUGUUUAGAUGUUAUUUCAUUUUUAAAAAAUUUUUAAUAUUUUGUUAUUUAUGCUUUUAUUUUGUUACUGUUUUUAUUCUUUUUGUUAAAAGUAGUUUUUCUUCAUUUUGUCUUUUCUGAAUUUCUAUUGUAUUAGCAAUAUUUUUUGUAAUAAAUUGCAUGAUUACAUGUUUAUGAGAACCUUUUUUAAUGGAUUAAAAAGAAUUCUUUAGCCAU